AGGCCCCCCGGAUAUCUGGUGCCCAACUUUACGAUCCAGAGGAGCUCCGCCCUGUGACGUUGGGCGAGGCUCCAUCUGGGGUUCAUCUCGAGGACAGUCACCCGGACGGAAGACCAACCGUGUCGGACAAAGUGCUGGACCAGACUAUAAAGGGCCUCCACUUCUUCGCGUGUCAAAUUGGGGGUGACCGCAGGUGCGCAGCCCGAGCCGGACAAUGUGAGCCCAUCGGCCUGGACCAUCGCCUGGAAUUCCGGAGGCAAAAGUCCAGGUGUUGUGGAGUGCCUGGGACAAAAGAAGUGCCUGGGACAGAAGGCCACUUACCCGUCGCCUCCCCCGGCGCCCCAGGGAGAUGAGGGACCCGAUCGGGAGGCGAGCAGAGAGGGGAAGGGGGAGGAGGAAUAACAUGGAGCCCCCCACGGUCCUGUC